GAUGAACGCUAGCGAUAGGCUUAACACAUGCAAGUCGAGUGGCAGCAUGGUCUUAGCUUGCUAAGACUGAUGGCGACCGGCGCACGGGUGCGUAACGCGUAUGCAACUUGCCUCACAGAGGGGGAUAACCCGUCGAAAGACGGACUAAUACCGCGUACACUUGGAGGGAGGCAUCUCCCAUCAAGGAAAAGAAAUUCGCUGUGAGAUAGGCAUGCGUCCCAUUAGCUAGUUGGUGAGGUAACGGCUCACCAAGGCAACGAUGGGUAGGGGAACUGGGAGGUUGAACCCCCAAACUGGUACUGAGACACGGACCAGACUCCUACGGGAGGCAGCAGUGAGGAAUAUUGGUCAAUGGGCGAGAGCCUGAACCAGCCAAGUCGCGUGAAGGAUGACUGUCUUAUGGAUUGUAAACUUCUUUUGUAGGGGAAUAAAAAACGGUACGUGUACCGUAGUGAAUGUACCCUACGAAUAAGCAUCGGCUAACUCCGUGCCAGCCGCCGCAGUAA
rnacentral:rRNA from 1 species